CAAGGUCCUUAAUUCAGGAAGGCGAAUAUGCAACCAGACAGGCGUUUGGUGGUUAUAAUAAUAUGUCUAUGUUAGAAAUGUACAGGAAGGACGGUAGUGUAUACGAUGAGAACGAUUUAUAAUGUACUCAAUAGAAGAUCAACAAGAGAAUAUCUACCUGUGUGGCUGAUACCUGAACAUGGAUGACCAGGCAUCACCUUAAGCUCAGCCUCAACAAGACCGAGCUGCUGCUCAUCCCGUACAAGACCCCCCUGCCAUGGGAGCCCUCAAUCACUGUCGAUGGCACCACAGUGACUGCCUCUCGCUCUGCAGAGAGCCUGGGGGGUGGUCCUGGAUGCCCAACCGGACCUCAAGGAGCACAUCACCUACACUGCAGCCAACAGGACAGCCCCCCCCCCCUUUACGUACGGGACAUGAUUCAAUCCCGCACGCCGGCUCGACCACUCCGCUCUGCUGCAGCAGGGCGGCUCACUCUCUCCCUGCCUUCCGGGUGAAUGGUUCUCGCACGUCCCCCACUACGGAGCUUCUCCCCCUAGCUCCCCAGCGGUGGAACAAACUCCCUGUCCCUCUGAGAACCACUCCGUCGUUGCUCAUCUUUCACUGUGGUCCGAAGACGCAUCUCAUCAGACUGUACCUGGACUAACUAUCACUGCUGUGCAGGGCACUCCCAAUCUAGAAUCACAUUUGUCACUUGUAUCCUUCUAUAUUGUUCUUGUAGGACUUUUGUGUUACACUUGUACCUUCAUCCAGCACUUAUGUUGCACUUGUAUGGUUAUCUCGAUGUUAUAGCUUGUUGACGUGCCUCCUAGUUUGACUUACCAAAACUUUCUGACCUAGACGACGCUUACUGCUUGAACUGGACUUAAUGUGUUCAUGGCUAUGAAUAACUUACCAAAUGAGCAUUGUAACUUAUCGGACAUGUGUUUUGUAAUUGUUCCAAUUGUCUUCAGUAUUCAGUUAUGGUAUGUUGCUUUUGAUAAGUGUCUGACAAAUGGAGGUAAUGUAAAGGAAUGUACUUUACAAUUUUCCCAUGAAUGAUAUUUUUCAUCAUGAAUUUCAUGAAAUUAAUUUCUACUCAUUUAUUUCACCAUGGUAGAUACAUAAAUAAUAUUUCCUAUCCACCUAUAUCAUUAAAUUGUAUUUUGAAA